UUUUGAGUUCUUAAUACAUUUUAGAUUUUUUUAAUUUUAUUUUUAUUAGUAUAUGUUUGCAGUUUGUAGUGAUCACAUUCAUCAUGGGGAGUUGGUACAUGUACAUAACUCACCUUAAUUCUUUUUACAUCCUCCCCUCUGCUCCCUUCCCUUCCUCCAUUUCUUCUAGAUAUUAAUCAUCUAUCAUAGAAGAGUAGCCGAUAAAGAUUUUCUCCCACUCUGGAGGCCAUCUCUUUACUCUGUUAGCUGUUUUCCUUGCUGUGCAGAAACUUUAAUUUGAGGUAGUCCCAUAUGUUUUGUUUUGUCUUGUUUUGUUUUGUUUUUGAGAUGGGGUCUUGCUAUGCAGUUAUAUAGUUCAAGCUGGCCUUGAACUCACUUUGUAGCCCAGGCUGGCCUCAAACUCACCUCAAUCCUCCUGUCUCAGCCUCUGGAAUUCUGGGAUUACAGACAUGUCCCACCAUGCCCAGCGAGUCUUACUAUUACUUACUGUACUAUUGGAGUCCUAUUCAGGAAGUCUUUACCUGUCUCUAUGGCUUCAAACAUUUCCCCUAUGUUUCUAAAAGUUUCAAAAUUUCAGGUCUUAUAUCUAUGUCUUUGAUCCAUUUUAAGUUGAUAUUUUUACAAGGUUUCUGAAAGAUACGGAUCUGGUUUUGAUCUUCUGCACAUGAAUAUCUAGUUUUCCCAGCACUGUUUCCUAAAGAAACUAUCUUUUCUUCAACAUAUGUUUUUGGCUCCUUUGUCAAGAAUCAGAUAACUAUAGUUUCAUGAGUUUGUUGCUGUGUCCUUACUCUAUCCUAAGGAUUCCUUCUCAUCCAGAGCUUCUUCCUUAGAAAAAGUUAGUAUCUAGGGGAUCAGAGGAUUGGGAAUCAGACAGAUAAGACUAGAAAAGACUGAGGGCCCAGGUAUCAGUUUUGCUGGAGAGUAAUACCAGAGAAGAGGCAAGAAAGAUGGCCCCAUGAGAUAAUUUCAUAGGAUUCAUAUUUACAGAUGAGAAAACGGAGGCACAAAAAACACUGCCGAGAAUCACAGUUUGUAAAUAGCAGUGUAGCAUUCAAACCUAGAUCCACCCAACUCUGAUCUGUGUACACGGGGAAGAAGUUGCUUGCAGUGAUAUCUAAGCUAGAGCUGAACCUCAGUUGAGUACCACGGACCCCUAAUGGGCUGAUGGAUGAGUAUACUAGACUGAGACUGUACGGUCUCAGUACUGCCAAAAUAAUACUCUCAGAAAGUUUCUGUGUUUUUGUUUAAAGGAAACAAGAAGAUACAGUGCCUAAGGAGCUAGGUUUCAGUUUGUCUCCCAGUGUUCAGGAAGAGUCCCUCUGCUUCAUCUUGGCCUGACCUGGGGGAAGGGAGCCGUGCGGAAGCUCAGAUGCACCUCCCUGCAGUGCUGCCUGUACCAGGCCGGCUUCGUGGCCCCAGAGCCCAGAAGCACUAGCCAUGCACAGGAGUGGGGACAGCUGAAAGUGGGCCAUCUCCUAAGAAGUGG
rnacentral:lncRNA from 1 species